GACGAACGCUGGCGGCGUGCUUAACACAUGCAAGUCGAACGGAAAGGCCCUGCUUUUGUGGGGUGCUCGAGUGGCGAACGGGUGAGUAACACGUGAGUAACCUGCCCUUGACUUUGGGAUAACUUCAGGAAACUGGGGCUAAUACCGGAUAGGAGCUCCUGCUGCAUGGUGGGGGUUGGAAAGUUUCGGCGGUUGGGGAUGGACUCGCGGCUUAUCAGCUUGUUGGUGGGGUAGUGGCUUACCAAGGCUUUGACGGGUAGCCGGCCUGAGAGGGUGAACGGCCACAUGAGGACUGAGAGACGGCCCAGACUCCUACGGGAGGCAGCAGGGGGGAAUAUUGCACAAUGGGCGGAAGCCUGAUGCAGCAACGCCGCGUGCGGGAUGACGGCCUUCGGGUUGUAAACCGCUUUCGCCUGUGACGAAGCGUGAGUGACGGUAAUGGGUAAAGAAGCACCGGCUAACUACGUG
rnacentral:rRNA from 1 species